AGUCAGCCCUAAUAUUGACUCCCCAACAGUGCAAGAGUUAAAACUCUCUUUCAAGCCGCAACCGGACUACUCUGAGAUUUCCCCUCACCUUAUCUGCCAUUGAAGCUCUUUCCCCAAAUCUUCAGCAAAGUUUUGUUCAUCCACUGGUUUUUAUUGCAAGACUCAUUAAGCUGUGAAAGAUUUUGUAAAUCGGAGAAUACGUUCCAUGAUGAUUUUCUGACGAACUGGAAGGCGAGCUCUUGGCCGAAUUUUCUUACCGUUUCUCGAAAAGCGAACAUGGAUGUUAUUGUUUUUGAUGACCUAUUGCUGUGAAAUUGGGUAUUUUAAUUUUAGCCUGUUCUGUUAGUUCUCUUAUGGUAACGGUGUGUUUGUUUGAGCUCGCUAGCUUUCGCUGGCUUGGACUGGACCAAAUGUCAAUGUAAUCCCAUGUUUGUUGCAC